rnacentral:rRNA from 1 species
GACGAACGCUGGCGGCGUGCCUAAUACAUGCAAGUAGAACGCAGUUGCGAACGGGUGAGUAACGCGUAGGUAACUGCCUGGUAGCGGGGGAUAACUAUUGGAAACGAUAGCUAAUACCGCAUACUACCAGAUGGACCUGCGUUGUAUUAGCUAGUUGGUGGGGUAACGGCUCACCAAGGCAACGAUACAUAGCCGACCUGAGAGGGUGAUCGGCCACACUGGGACUGAGACACGGCCCAGACUCCUACGGGAGGCAGCAGUAGGGAAUCUUCGGCAAUGGACGGAAGUCUGACCGAGCAACGCCGCGUGAGUGAAGAAGGUUUUCGGAUCGUAAAGCUCUGUUGUAAGAGAAGCGGUAUCUUACCAGAAAGGGACGGCUAACUACGUGCCAGCAGCCGCGGUAAUAC